rnacentral:rRNA from 1 species
AUUGAACGCUGGCGGCAGGCCUAACACAUGCAAGUCGAGCGGAUGAAGGGAGCUUGCUCCUGGAUUCAGCGGCGGACGGGUGAGUAAUGCCUAGGAAUCUGCCUGGUAGUGGGGGAUAACGUCCGGAAACGGGCGCUAAUACCGCAUACGUCCUGAGGGAGAAAGUGGGGGAUCUUCGGACCUCACGCUAUCAGAUGAGCCUAGGUCGGAUUAGCUAGUUGGUGGGGUAAAGGCCUACCAAGGCGACGAUCCGUAACUGGUCUGAGAGGAUGAUCAGUCACAUGGGAACUGAGACACGGUCCGGACUCCUACGGAAGGCAGCAGUGGGAAAUAUUGGACAAGGGGCGAAAGCCUGAUCCAGCCACGCGGCGGGUGUGAAGAAGGUCUUCGGAUGGUAAAGCACUUUAAGUUGGGAGGAAGGCAGUAAGUUAAUACCUUGCUAUUUUGACGUUACCAACAGAAUAAGCACCGGCUAACUUCGUG